rnacentral:rRNA from 1 species
UCGUGAGACAGUUCGGUCCCUAUCUGCCGUGGGCGCUGGAGAAUUGAGGGGGGCUGCUCCUAGUACGAGAGGACCGGAGUGGACGCAUCACUGGUGUUCGGGUUGUCAUGCCAAUGGCACUGCCCGGUAGCUAAAUGCGGAAGAGAUAAGUGCUGAAAGCAUCUAAGCACGAAACUUGCCCCGAGAUGAGUUCUCCCUGAGACUUUAAGUCUCCUGAAGGAACGUURAAGACGAYGACGUUGAUAGGUCGGGGUGUGUAAGCGCAGCGAUGCGUUGAGCUAACCGAUACUAAUGAACCGUGAGGCUUAACCUU